AUUAAGUUCAUUAACAUGCUUAGUCGUAAUAUAUGUGUACAAUAACCUUCGGCCAUCUAUGGUAUUGUUCAUUCUACCUGAACUAAGAACGGUUUAGUGAAUCAAUGAACACUUUAUUGCAGAAAGCUUUGACUAUGCUAUACAUGUACAGCAAAGGAGGUUGCACCCUCAAUCUCUUUGGCUAUAGCAAAGAACAAAUAUUUACAACAUGACAAAUGAUAAUCAGCAGAAAGCAAUACAUUACAUGCACAAUAAGAGUAACAUGCAACAUUAACUGAACA
rnacentral:lncRNA from 1 species